GAUGAACGCUGGCGGCGUGCCUAAUACAUGCAAGUCGAGCGAACAGAUAAGGAGCUUGCUCCUUUGACGUUAGCGUCGGACGGGUGAGUAACACGUGGGUAACCUACCUAUAAGACUGGGAUAACUUCGGGAAACCGGAGCUAAUACCUGAUAACAUUUGGAACCGCAUGGUUCUAAAGUGAAAGAUGGUUUUGCUAUCACUUAUAGAUGGACCCGCGCCGUAUUAGCUAGUUGGUAAGGUAACGGCUUACCAAGGCGACGAUACGUAGCCGACCUGAGAGGGUGAUCGGCCACACUGGAACUGAGACACGGUCCAGACUCCUACGGGAGGCAGCAGUAGGGAAUCUUCCGCAAUGGGCGAAAGCCUGACGGAGAAACGCCGCGUGAGUGAUGAAGGGUUUCGGCUCGUAAAACUCUGUUAUUAGGGAAGAACAAAUGUGUAAGUAACUGUGCACGUCUUGACGGUACCUAAUCAGAAAGCCACGGCUAACUACGUG
rnacentral:rRNA from 1 species